rnacentral:rRNA from 1 species
GCUCUCUGGGGGGCAAGGGGCGAACGGGUGACGAAAACGUGCCCAUCCAUUUUGUCUUGGGGGAUAACGUAGGGAAACUUCCGCAUUACCGUGACGAUGAAAGGGGGAAACCUUGGGAUCUUCCGACCUUGGACGAUUGAAUGAGCCAAUGUGUGAUUAGCGAGAUAAAAGGGGUAAAGGCCCACCAAUCUGACGAUGGUCUGAUGGUCUGACAGGAUGACUGGGACUGUGGAACUGAGACACGGUCCCACUCCUACGGGAGGCAGAAUUUUGGAAUAUUGGACAAUGCCUGAUCGCCUGAGCAGCCAUACCGAGUGGGCCAAGAAGGCCUUCGGGUUGUUUGUACUUUUGUUGGGAAAGAAAUCUAAUAUGGCUAAUACCCGGUUGGGAUGACGGUACCCAAAGAAUAAUAACCGGCUAACUUCGUGCGCGGUACCGCGGUAAUAGCAAGGGUGCAUGCGAUUUUCUGAAUUACUGGCGUGCGAGCGUGGUUAUGUGAGACUUUGUGAAAUUGUGAAACUCCUGCUGCUCAACCUGGGAACUGACUGGGAUACUGGGCGACUAGAGAGGGGGAUGAGAAUUCCGGAAUUCCUGGUGUAUGCGUAAAUGCGUAGAGGAUACACGAGGAACAUCCAUGGUCAACUGGACCUGUGCUGACGCUCAUGACACUGAGGCGUGAA